rnacentral:rRNA from 1 species
CCAGACUCCUACGGGAGGCAGCAGUGGGGAAUAUUGCACAAUGGGGGGAACCCUGAUGCAGCGACGCCGCGUGGGCGAGGAAGUAUUUCGGUAUGUAAAGCCCUAUCGGCAGGGAAGAAGAAAUGACGGUACCUGAAUAAGAAGCACCGGCUAAAUACGUGCCAGCAGCCGCGGUAAUACGUAUGGUGCAAGCGUUAUCCGGAUUUACUGGGCGUAAAGGGAGCGCAGACGGCGAUGCAAGCCAGGAGCGAAAGCCCGGGGCCCAACCCCGGGACUGCUCUUGGAACUGCGUGGCUGGAGUGCAGGAGGGGCAGGCGGAAUUCCUGGUGUAGCGGUGAAAUGCGUAGAUAUCAGGAGGAACACCGGUGGCGAAGGCGGCCUGCUGGACUGCAACUGACGUUGAGGCCCGAAAGCGUGGGGAGCAAACGGGAUUAGAUACCCGUGUAU